GAACGAACGCUGGCGGCAUGCCUAACACAUGCAAGUCGAACGAGACCUUCGGGUCUAGUGGCGCACGGGUGCGUAACGCGUGGGAAUCUGCCCCUUGGUUCGGAAUAACAGCGAGAAAUUGCUGCUAAUACCGGAUAAUGACGUAAGUCCAAAGAUUUAUCGCCAAGGGAUGAGCCCGCGUAGGAUUAGCUAGUUGGUGUGGUAAAGGCGCACCAAGGCGACGAUCCUUAGCUGGUCUGAGAGGAUGAUCAGCCACACUGGGACUGAGACACGGCCCAGACUCCUACGGGAGGCAGCAGUGGGAAUAUUGGACAAUGGGCGAAAGCCUGAUCCAGCAAUGCCGCGUGAGUGAUGAAGGCCUUAGGGUUGUAAAGCUCUUUUACCCGGGAUGAUAAUGACAGUACCGGGAGAAUAAGCUCCGGCUAACUACGUG
rnacentral:rRNA from 1 species